ACUCCUACGGGAGGCAGCAGUAGGGAAUAUUGGACAAUGGGCGCAAGCCUGAUCCAGCCAUGCCGCGUGAGUGAAGAAGGCCCUUCGGGUUGUAAAGCUCUUUGUUGGGGAAGAAAAGCCUUGGGUUAAUACCCCGGGUCCGUGACGGUACCCGAAGAAUAAAGCACCGGCUAACUUCGUGCCAGCAGCCGCGGUAAUACGAAGGGUGCAAGCGUUACUC
rnacentral:rRNA from 1 species